rnacentral:rRNA from 1 species
CGUAGUCGAUGGGAAACAGGUUAAUAUUCCUGUACUUGGUGUUACUGCGAAGGGGGGACGGAGAAGGCUAUGUUGGCCGGGCGACGGUUGUCCCGGUUUAAGCGUGUAGGCUGGUUUUCCAGGCAAAUCCGGAAAACCAAGGCUGAGGCGUGAUGACGAGGCACUACGGUGCUGAAGCGACAAAUGCCCUGCUUCCAGGAAAAGCCUCUAAGCAUCAGGUAACAUCAAAUCGUACCCCAAACCGACACAGGUGGUCAGGUAGAGAAUACCAAGGCGCUUGAGAGAACUCGGGUGAAGGAACUAGGCAAAAUGGUGCCGUAACUUCGGGAGAAGGCACGCUGAUAUGUAGGUGAAGCGACUUGCUCGUGGAGCUGAAAUCAGUCGAAGAUACCAGCUGGCUGCAACUGUUUAUUAAAAACACAGCACUGUGCAAACACGAAAGUGGACGUAUACGGUGUGACGCCUGCCCGGUGCCGGAAGGUUAAUUGAUGGGGUUAGCGGCAACGCGAAGCUCUUGAUCGAAGCCCCGGUAAACGGCGGCCGUAACUAUAACGGUCCUAAGGUAGCGAAAUUCCUUGUCGGGUAAGUUCCGACCUGCACGAAUGGCGUAAUGAUGGCCAGGCUGUCUCCACCCGAGACUCAGUGAAAUUGAACUCGCUGUGAAGAUGCAGUGUACCCGCGGCAAGACGGAAAGACCCCGUGAACCUUUACUAUAGCUUGACACUGAACAUUGAGCCUUGAUGUGUAGGAUAGGUGGGAGGCUUUGAAGUGUGGACGCCAGUCUGCAUGGAGCCGACCUUGAAAUACCACCCUUUAAUGUUUGAUGUUCUAACGUUGGCCCCUAAUCGGGGUUGCGGACAGUGUCUGGUGGGUAGUUUGACUGGGGCGGUCUCCUCCUAAAGAGUAACGGAGGAGCACGAAGGUUGGCUAAUCCUGGUCGGACAUCAGGAGGUUAGUGCAAUGGCAUAAGCCAGCUUGACUGCGAGCGUGACGGCGCGAGCAGGUGCGAAAGCAGGUCAUAGUGAUCCGGUGGUUCUGAAUGGAAGGGCCAUCGCUCAACGGAUAAAAGGUACUCCGGGGAUAACAGGCUGAUACCGCCCAAGAGUUCAUAUCGACGGCGGUGUUUGGCACCUCGAUGUCGGCUCAUCACAUCCUGGGGCUGAAGUAGGUCCCAAGGGUAUGGCUGUUCGCCAUUUAAAGUGGUACGCGAGCUGGGUUUAGAACGUCGUGAGACAGUUCGGUCCCUAUCUGCCGUGGGCGCUGGAGAACUGAGGGGGGCUGCUC